rfam:Clostridium ventriculi strain 2789STDY5834858 genome assembly, contig: SCcontig000004
AAUUAAGGUAGAGGUGCGGUUAUUAAAAGUAUUUAAACUUUUAUGUUAAGCAAAUGAGGUUUAAUGAAAGGAAUAAUCGCCGAAGUGUUUAGCUAAAGCUUUAAUGCUAGAUGCUGGGGGUAUAUAAAAUAUAUAUAUCACUGUCACAAAAAAUUUGUGGAGAGCUAUCAUCUAA